rnacentral:rRNA from 1 species
AACGAACGCUGGCGGCAUGCCUAACACAUGCAAGUCGAACGAAGUCUUCGGACUUAGUGGCGCACGGGUGCGUAACGCGUGGGAAUCUGCCCUUGGGUGCGGAAUAACUUCUCGAAAGGGAUGCUAAUACCGCAUAAUGUCGUAAGACCAAAGAUUUAUCGCCCAAGGAUGAGCCCGCGUAAGAUUAGCUAGUUGGUGGGGUAAAAGCCUACCAAGGCGACGAUCUUUAGCUGGUCUGAGAGGAUGAUCAGCCACACUGGGACUGAGACACGGCCCAGACUCCUACGGGAGGCAGCAGUGGGGAAUAUUGGACAAUGGGCGAAAGCCUGAUCCAGCAAUGCCGCGUGAGUGAUGAAGGCCCUAGGGUUGUAAAGCUCUUUUACCAGGGAUGAUAAUGACAGUACCGCAAGAAUAAGCCCCGGCUAACUUCGUGCCAGCAGCCGCGGUAU